UGGGGUAGAGCCAGGAGUAGCAGCAUGAACACACCCUGCAUGUAUAAAACCUGCCAGUAGGAACCCUCUCCCCCACUGUUGUUUAUCAGAGGGAGGCAGUUUAAGGGAAGACUGGAAACAGGUCUCAGUAAGGCAUCACAGGCAACCAUCAUCCUGACCUACUUUGGUUCCCCAGAUGAGGGGUCUUGAGCACAAGCCUUGAGAGGAGCUCUGAGGGAGCUGGUAUUGUUCCAUCUGGAGAAGAGAAGGAUCGGGGGUGAUCUCUACAACUACCUGAAGGGAGGUUGAGGAAAGAAAAAUAGGAUCAAUAUGCCAUAGUCUCUUCCCCCUGCAGUGAGCAUUUGCAUGGAUAAUACCUAUGAAUUCUAAUGUGAGCUACACAUUGUGUGAAACAAUGUCGCUAUUUAAAAAAAUGCAUCUGA